AGCAGUCGCCGCGGUAAUACGAAGGGUGCAAGCGUUAAUCGGAAUUACUGGGCGUAAAGCGUGCGUAGGCGGUGAGUUAAGUCUGCUGUGAAAUCCCCGGGCUCAACCUGGGAAUGGCAGUGGAUACUGGCUCGCUAGAGUGUGUCAGAGGAUGGUGGAAUUCCCGGUGUAUCGGUGAAAUGCGUAGGGAUCGGGAGGAACAUCAGUGGCGAAGGCGGCCAUCUGGGACAACACUGACGCUGAGGCACGAAAGCGUGGGGAGCAAACAGGAUUAGAUACCCCAGUAGUCCCUGUCUCUUAUAC
rnacentral:rRNA from 1 species